rnacentral:rRNA from 1 species
AGAGUUGAUCCUGGCUCAGGAUGAACGCUAGCUACAGGCUUAACACAUGCAAGUCGAGGGGUAGCAGGGUAGCAAUACCGCUGACGACCGGCGCACGGGUGAGUAACACGUAUCCAACCUUCCCAUAACUCAGGGAUAGCCUUUCGAAAGAAAGAUUAAUACCUGAUAGUACUUUUUCAAGGCAUCUUGAGAAGUUAAAGAUUUAUUGGUUAUGGAUGGGGAUGCGUUCCAUUAGAUAGUUGGUGAGGUAACGGCUCACCAAGUCUUCGAUGGAUAGGGGUUCUGAGAGGAAGGUCCCCACAUUGGUACUGAGACACGGACCAAACUCCUACGGGAGGCAGCAGUGAGGAAUAUUGGUCAAUGGGCGAGAGCCUGAACCAGCCAAGUAGCGUGAAGGAUGAAGGUCCUAUGGAUUGUAAACUUCUUUUAUAGUAGAAUAAAGUGAUCCACGUGUGGAUUUUUGUAUGUAUACUAUGAAUAAGGAUCGGCUAACUCCGUGCCAGCAGCCGC